CUGCUGGAGUUUCAUAAGCAAGCCUGGGGUAAGGCCAUUAUGCCUUGUCUUCUCACUACGUUCCAUGAUUAAGAGUCUCUCUCCAGCUUUCUUGUAUGAAACAAGUGAACAUAUUACAAUUACAAAGAUUCAGCAAAAACUAGUAGAAGAAAGAUAGAAGAUAACUAAAGAAGUAUUCCUGUAAAAAUGGCCUUGUAAAAUAAAUGACUGAUUUCUAAAAUGUUUUCCUUUGAAUCUAUGUAAAGACAUUUUAAAGGAAAAGAAAUACACAGAA